CCUACGGGUGGCAGCAGUGGGGAAUAUUGGACAAUGGGCGAAAGCCUGAUCCAGCCAUGCCGCGUGUGUGAAGAAGGCCUUCGGGUUGUAAAGCACUUUCAGUGGGGAAGAAAGCCUUGGGGCUAAUACCCUCGAGGAAGGACAUCACCCACAGAAGAAGCACCGGCUAACUCCGUGCCAGCAGCCGCGGUAAUACGGAGGGUGCGAGCGUUAAUCGGAAUUACUGGGCGUAAAGCGCGCGUAGGCGGUCUGAUAAGCCGGUUGUGAAAGCCCCGGGCUCAACCUGGGAACGGCAUCCGGAACUGUCAGGCUAGAGUGCAGGAGAGGAAGGUAGACUUCCCGGUGUAGCGGUGAAAUGCGUAGAGAUCGGGAGGAAUACCAGUGGCGAAGGCGGCCUUCUGGACUGACACUGACGCUGAGGUGCGAAAGCGUGGGUAGCAAACAGGAUUAGAUACCCCUGUAGUC
rnacentral:rRNA from 1 species